GAGAGGACCGGGAUGGACGCACCGCUGGUGUACCAGUUGUUCUGCCAAGGGCAUCGCUGGGUAGCUAUGUGCGGACGGGAUAAGUGCUGAAAGCAUCUAAGCAUGAAGCCCCCCUCAAGAUGAGAUUUCCCAUUCCGCAAGGAAGUAAGAUCCCUGAAAGAUGAUCAGGUUGAUAGGUCUGAGGUGGAAGUGUGGCGACACAUGGAGCUGACAGAUACUAAUCGAUCGAGGACUUAACCAAUUU
rnacentral:rRNA from 1 species